AGUUAUUCAUCUAGCCUAAAUACAAAUCAACCAAGAUAACAACCCCCCCCCCUUUUUUUAAUAAAACAUUCUUUAUCUUUAGUAUAUGUGAUAAAAAAAGAAACCAGAGCUAUAGCAAUAGUACCGCAAGGGAAAGAUGAAAUAGUAGUGAAAUAAACCCCAACCUUAUAAAGCAGAGAUUCUACCUCGUACCUUUUGCAUCAUGGCCUAACAAGUCUAACCAGGCAAAAAGAAUUCUAGUCUGGCCCCCCGAAACUAAGUGAGCUACUCCGAAGCACUAAAAGUAACCCGUCUCUGUGGCAAAAGAGUGGGGAGACUUCCGAGUAGAGGCGACAAACCUAUCGAACCUAGUGAUAGCUGGUUGCUCAGGAAAAGAAUUUUAGUUCUUUCUUAAAAAUCAUUAAGCACCAUCAAGCACUUAAUUUUUAAGAACUAUUCAAUAAGGGUACAGCCUUAUUGAAAAAGGAUACAACCUAAACUUCAGGUUAAUGAUUAAACCCUUUCAAGGUAAAAGGCUAAGUUGGCUUAAAAGCAGCCUCCUUUUAAAAAGCGUCAAAGCUUCACCUUCUCCUCACCUUUUAUUUAAUUAAUUUCUCAAAAUCCGUUAUUACUACUGAGCUGUUCUAUAUUAUUAUAGAAGUAUUUAUGUUAGGACUAGUAACACAGAAUUAUUUCUCUUAUAUGUAAGUAUACAUCAGCCUGAAUACCCCACUGAUAAUUACCCAGUUUUGAGCGCAAAGUAAUAUUGACAUUCCAUGAAAACAUUACUUAAACCACUGUUAACCUUACACAAGAACAUAAAAGAAAGAUAUAAAGUUUAAGAAGGAACUCGGCAAACACAAAUCCCGCCUGUUUACCAAAAACAUCGCCUUUUGAAUAAUAUAAAAGGUAACGCCUGCCCAGUGACAUCAUGUUCAACGGCCGCGGUAUUCUGACCGUGCGAAGGUAGCGUAAUCACUUGUCUUUUAAAUAAAGACUAGUAUGAAUGGCACCACGAGGAUUUAGCUGUCUCCUUAGACUUAUCAGUGAAACUGAUCUCCCCGUGCAAAAGCGGGGAUAUACACAUAAGACGAGAAGACCCUAUGGAGCUUAAAACCGAUAGCCGCCUAUGCCAUCUGCUAAUAUAAAUAGUAUUAUAAUAAUAGAUCCGGCCUACGUUUUCAGUUGGGGUGACUGUGGAGAAAAACCUAUCCUCCAUGAAGAAACAAGCCUUGAGUUACCACUCUACGCAUUAGCAAGCCUAACUUUACUUGAUCCAAUCUAUUUGAUCAACGGACCAAGUUACCCUAGGGAUAACAGCGCAAUCCAUUUCAAGAGUCCUUAUCGACAAAUGGGUUUACGACCUCGAUGUUGGAUUAGGACACCCUAGUGGUGCAGCCGCUACUAACGGUUCGUUUGUUCAACGAUUAAAGUCCUACGUGAUCUGAGUUCAGACCGGAGUAAUCCAGGUCAGUUUCUAUCUAUGACGAGCCUUUUUCAGUACGAAAGGACCAAAAAGACAGAGCCUCUGAAAUAUUAAGCUCUAGCUUACUAUUAUUGACACUUCUAAAAUAAAAAUAAGCCUACUACCAACCCUAAGAUUAAGGC
rnacentral:rRNA from 1 species